rnacentral:rRNA from 1 species
CGCAUCUGUGCAUGCAGCAUAUCAAUAAGCGGAGGAAAAGAAACUAACAAGGAUUCCCCUAGUAACGGCGAGUGAAGCGGGAAGAGCUCAAAUUUGAAAUCUUAAAGGGUUUCCCUUUACGAAUUGUAGUUUAAAGAAGUGUUUUCUGUUGAGGUUUUGGUAAAAGUUCUUUGGAAUAGGACAUCAUAGAGGGUGAGAAUCCCGUAUUUGACCUUUACUUUCAACUUUGUGAUACACUUUCAAAGAGUCGGAUUGUUUGGGAAUGCAGUCCAAAAUGGGUGGUAAAUUUCAUCUAAAGCUAAAUAUUGGCGAGAGACCGAUAGCGAACAAGUACCGUGAGGGAAAGAUGAAAAGAACUUUGAAAAGAGAGUUAAACAGUACGUGAAAUUGUCAAAAGGGAAGCGUUUGACACCAGUGUUGUUUUUCUGAAAAUCAAUUAAAGAACUGUUUAUGCUAAGUUGUUUAGACUUUAUCAGCUAACUGUUUAGUUUUGAGCUUUUCUUUAAUGCACUUUUCAGUUAACAAGUCAACAUCAAUUUCUUUUGCUGUAAAAAAGCUUGAGGAAGGUGGCUUGAGAUUCGUCUUAAGUGUUUAUAGCCUCUUGCCUAUGCAGUCGGAGAGAUUGAGGUCUGCAGCGUAGAUCCUUCGGGGCUAAAUGCAUUUGUGCUAAGUUAUAGCAUUUUAUAGACAACUUGUUGACUAUGAUUUGUCUUGUAGCUUACUCGCUUAUGUUAUUUUACCUACGCUUAGGAUGUUGAAUCUGUGCGAGACUAC